rnacentral:tRNA from 2 species
AAACUUAGGCUAGACA